CUGAUAGUAACCCGAGUCAUUUCACGGGGGUUGUGUGACACUCAAAACAAUUUAUCCACCGUUUUACAGCCGCAACCGUAGCCACGGAGUAGGCUAUGGUGGAGCCUAUGAAGUAAGCACGUGUCAACAAUGUUCUUGUAAUUACUCCCACUGCCAGAAGGGGGAGACAAAUGUCCCGUACUCUAGUUUUAAAUGCAGUAUCACGUCUUUACUCUUUCUUAACCGGUUUUAAUUGAGUUUCGUCAAAUUAGUGAAACAGCGCCCCCUAGAUCGUAAUUGCUGGUAAAUGUACAUCAGUGUGUGGUGAGAAGGGUGUAGUUCAUCAUCAGCUUGGAUGGGAAACCAAGUGAAAUUGAUAUGCAUUGAUUAGACAACAGCACUGUCAGUCUGAACCAAUGUAGUCACUGUCAUACCACUGCCAGAAGUUUAGCUGCUGAGUUAACCGUCAUAAACAACGUAUUUGGCUAUAGAAAGUUAAAACUACAGUGGGGAAUUAUAGGACAUGGAUACAGACCACUUUGCCUACCUGAAGGACAGCAGAAUGCGCGCCUCUUCUUCAAAGUAGGUUGUAAUCCUUGAUGUCGAGGUGUUUCAACUGACUCCAGUGGCUGGAAACUGAGGUGUGUCCUGUGCAGUCAGACUGCUUGUGUAUUGAGUAUCACAGACUUGCUACAAGACAUCCUCUACCCACCAUCAGUCUGUACUGUUGUUUGCAAUGCACAGGCAGAUCAAACCAAGCAUUGGCUUACAAUGUAGGUUUCCCAGCUGGUUAACGGCCUAUGUGGCUGUUGGAAUUGAAGUGAUAUAACAAAACAGUUUUUAUUGCCUGUCCACACAAAUUUUGCGCCAAUCAGAUUAAAAAUGAAGUACAUUUUUAGUUUUCCAGGAAUAUAAAAAAACACUCUGUUCUCCUGAAUGUUCACCCUCAUUGUCCAAUUGUUACUGUUCUUUCAUGACUCAUUUUCUUUGACAAUUCAUAAUCAAUCAAUGUAAUUUUACUUGCCCAAUGCAAUAUAUGUACAACUCACAAAAUCUUUCCAUCAAGAGUAUGUGAUGGUCCCAAAGGUCUAUGUGAACCUUUUUUUUUAUGCUAUUCACUA